CCCAGCCUCCCGAUCCCCUUGCAGCCGUCAUCGCCGCCCGACCAUGGAGUCCCGACAGCCAGCUCCCCGGAGAUUUCCGCCUCCCUAAAAGUCCAGAUCUCCAGUCCAGCGCGUCACCACCUCCUGCCCCGCACGCCUCACCACGCGCCUCCGGUCUGCCCCCCGUCGCCGCAUGCCGUCAGUCCCCCGCCCCCCGUCGCAGCGUGCCGCCGGACCGCCUACCGUCGCUGGCUCUCCCCAGCCCCGAGGUCACAUCUCUUCCGGAGAUCCUCUCCAACCCAUAGUUCCUCGCAGAGGACACCCGCUCACACCAGCGUGUUAAGAGGAGGUACGUCGCCCCUCCUUGCGGACGCAUGGACGAGGGUCUCACGAUGCUGCCGGCAGCGGCAACUACAGCGGACCACGUGCCCCGACGUAGUCAGGGGAAAGCAGCGGCUCCGACUCCAAUGUUGGCCUUGGCGAAAGCACAAAGGGGUCACACUGGGUGGCAUUGUGGCAGGGGACAGGGUGCUGGGUUUCGCGGUAAGAUCGUCUAUUGGUGGAUUCUGUCUGGAUUGGAGCAGCGCAACAGGAAUAGGAUCGGGGGUGGUGGUGGUCCAGGACGUGGGGACGGGGAGAGGAGAGAUAGCUGUGAGCACGAGGUCCUUGCCGGCUGAAUCGAAUUGAAGCGCUCCGUCCAUCUCUAUUGGCCUUGGACGAACAAGGCAAUAAGGUACAGGACGAACAUGAAGAUAUAAGGAUGGGAGAUCAACAUAUUCUUGUUUUCUCUGGUGAAUGUGAAGUUCGGGUCUAUCUAAAAAGCAGCUAAUGUCUAGCAAUCUGCAGCGAGAACUCUAUCCACUCAUCUGGUCCAACUUACACCCAUGGAAUUCUCCAUCCACAUCUCUCUAUUCGUGAAAGCAACUGCUAAAUUUGUAUGGUAAGAGUGGUCCCGUACAUGCAUUCCAUUGGCUACUAAAUUAAUUAAUUUCCCGCGAAUUACAAUAGAAUUUAAUUAGGAGGGCAAGUAAUUAUUGGUGAUAACUACUUGGUUUAUUUUUGUAGGCGUGAUUGUAGUCUUAGAUCUUUGUAGGAUUUUGUAAUGUGGCUCAGAUGUGUUGUGUGAACUUAGAUAGCUUUGAUGUCUGAAUAUAUACAUUUUGCAGAUCUCCUGUCCUUACUGAAGUUAAAGUUCUGAAAUAAAUCUUCAGAAACAAUGAUGUUAUGUCUGAAACUGAUCUGAGUAGUGAGCCAAAUUAACAAUUAUUUUCUCUGUUCUUAAUCAGUACAUAACACCUGUUUUCUCAGUUGUUAACUUAAGAUUCGACCACUAUGAGCAGCAUUGCAGCAGUCGGCCAGAGGCUUCUAGUUUUUCAUUUGAAUGUGCUAGAGAGAUGUUUCUUUGCUUCAUUUUCAUUUGAAUGUGCUGAUGAAGAGUUGAAGCUGGAAGAAGCCCAACCGUCAAAUAAUCCUGAAGACCUAUGGAUUUGUCGCCGAAGUGUUGAGCUUAGUAAGAGAUGACAUAAACUGUGAGCUUUCAUCCGACAAAGUUGUGCUGGUGUCUGGUUGGAAAACAUGUUUCCUAUUACCACCGCCCCUAGCAGCUCACAUUUUUUUCGUAAUAUCUCUAGCAAUUUCUCUAAAUCCAUUUUUUAUAUGGCCUGAUGAUUCAUCAUCAAAUGCCACACAUGUUGUGUGCCUUCAGAAUGAGGUGUUUCAUGUGGAAGGCCAAAGGAUCCUUCAGUUUGCUUUCUCAAUGUUUGACUAAAUAUUUCAUUCAUGUUCAACAAACCUUAUGAGCAAUCGAUGGAGGCAGUGCGUGAGCUAACUUCCUUGUGGCCGGAUUGAUAGAGGCACUGCAUGAGGAACCGAGCCACCGAUGCAGGUCGGCGCCGGCUCCAUUGCACAUGGCAGCCACCACCACAUCUGCCGUCUCCGCAUCUGAACAACCGCUGCUUUGUGAGCCGCCUCAUCUAGCGAGGACACUGCUACUUCUGAGGACGCAGGAGCCGCCUCAUCCGGUGAAGACUCGCCGCUGUUCCACAGUGAGGCCGCCGCUGGCGCCGUUGUUUCCGCACUAAUCACAUGUUUUUGCCGGCCCCUAAAUUUUAUCCUCUGCUUAUCAUGGUUAUUACUGGUCCUUCCUCUGCAGAAUUGAGCGCAUGUUUUAUUAUUAUAGUAUAGCCUUUGAGUUCCUGCUUGCAUAUUACUUGAAACAUAGUUAAAUUGUGUAUAUUUAGCAGCUUUUCUUCUUACAGGCAAUUAUGCUUAACUCUUGUUACAUUUCUGUAUGGCCGCAAAAUUCAAGCAAUUGUAUAUAUACAUACUUUGGUCACAAUAUGACACUUCCCACUAAAUUUCUUCAGCUAUAAAUCUGAGAAUGUACUUCUCUUUAUGUAAUUAAGUUUGGAUUACUAGAUCUUAUGCAAAUGCCUUUUUUGUUCCUUAAUCAGUCCGCCUGUGGAGCUCCAAAGAUAGACGUUGGAUGUGUUCGAUGAUGGAGCUACCUGCGUUGGCUGUGUUGCCGGGUAGCCUGACUAUUUUUGUUAGUUCUAAAAUGCACUGAUGCUAACGCUGGGAGCGUACUGCUGGGAGCUGCUGUUUAUUUAUAGACAACUCCUGAAUUUAGUAUGUCAAUAUUUUUUGACCUAUUUUUGUUCUUGUUACUCAUUAAAAAAAUUAGUUUUAUUGCUCAAAAUCAUCUUACAAUGUUUCAUGUUACCACAGAUCAUGGCAAGGAAUAAAUUUUACAACCAAAAUCAUAUUCUACAAACUUAUUUGGUGCAUAUUAUCAUUUAGCAGUACGCUGGCUGUGCCUUCCUAUGAUAAAUGGAGAUCUUAGAUGUACUAUUGUUCCGUCAGGCAUUGAACCUCUCAAUGGCUGACCAUGAAAGAUAUGUGUAGCUCUAAUUUUCUCCCUAUGUUUCUGUUUUCAAGGAUAAUUCUUACUCCUUUUGGAAUUACUGAUACGUCUCCAACGUAUCUAUAAUUUUUGAUUGCUC